CAGUAGCCACGGGAAUACGGAGGGUGCGAGCGUUAAUCGGAAUAACUGGGCGUAAAGGGCACGCAGGCGGGCUUUUAAGUGAGGUGUGAAAUCCCCGGGCUUAACCUGGGAAUUGCAUUUCAGACUGGGAGUCUAGAGUACUUUAGGGAGGGGUAGAAUUCCACGUGUAGCGGUGAAAUGCGUAGAGAUGUGGAGGAAUACCGAAGGCGAAGGCAGCCCCUUGGGAAUGUACCGACGCUCAUGUGCGAAAGCGUGGGGAGCAAACAGGAUUAGAUACCCCCGUAGUCCCUGUCUCUUAUAC
rnacentral:rRNA from 1 species